AUUAUUUUAAAUUUAACAAGUUUCCUUGUGUGGGUCAAAAAUGACGUGCAUUCAUUUUCAAUGGAAUUUCAUCUGAACCUUUGAUUCAUUCU